rnacentral:tRNA from 1 species
UGAACUAUAGCUCAACGGUAGAGCGAGCCACUCAUAAUGGCUAUACCUCAGUUCAACUCUGAGUAGUUCAA